rnacentral:rRNA from 1 species
UACAGAGGUCCCAAGCGUUGUUCGGAUUCAUUGGGCGUAAAGGGUGCGUAGGCGGCGCGGUAAGUCGGGUGUGAAAUCUCGGAGCUUAACUCCGAAACUGCAUUCGAUACUGCCGUGCUUGAGGACUGGAGAGGAGACUGGAAUUUACGGUGUAGCGGUGAAAUGCGUAGAUAUCGUAAGGAAGACCAGUGGCGAAGGCGGGUCCUCUGGACAGUUCCUGACGCUGAGGCACGAAGGUCAGGGGAGCAAACGGG